rnacentral:rRNA from 1 species
GGGUUGUGAGGUUAAGCGACUAAGCGUACACGGUGGAUGCCCUGGCAGUCAGAGGCGAUGAAGGACGUGCUAAUCUGCGAUAAGCGUCGGUGAGGUGAUAUGAACCGUUAUAACCGGCGAUUUCCGAAUGGGGAAACCCAGUGUGUUUCGACACACUAUCAUUAACUGAAUCCAUAGGUUAAUGAGGCGAACCGGGGGAACUGAAACAUCUAAGUACCCCGAGGAAAAGAAAUCAACCGAGAUUCCCCCAGUAGCGGCGAGCGAACGGGGAGGAGCCCAGAGCCUGAAUCAGUGUGUGUGUUAGUGGAAGCGUCUGGAAAGGCGUGCGAUACAGGGUGACAGCCCCGUACACAAAAAUGCACAUAUUGUGAGCUCGAUGAGUAGGGCGGGACACGUGGUAUCCUGUCUGAAUAUGGGGGGACCAUCCUCCAAGGCUAAAUACUCCUGACUGACCGAUAGUGAACCAGUACCGUGAGGGAAAGGCGAAAAGAACCCCGGCGAGGGGAGUGAAAAAGAACCUGAAACCGUGUACGUACAAGCAGUGGGAGCCUCUUUAUGGGGUGACUGCGUACCUUUUGUAUAAUGGGUCAGCGACUUAUAUUCUGUAGCAAGGUUAACCGAAUAGGGGAGCCGAAGGGAAACCGAGUCUUAACUGGGCGUUAAGUUGCAGGGUAUAGACCCGAAACCCGGUGAUCUAGCCAUGGGCAGGUUGAAGGUUGGGUAACACUAACUGGAGGACCGAACCGACUAAUGUUGAAAAAUUAGCGGAUGACUUGUGGCUGGGGGUGAAAGGCCAAUCAAACCGGGAGAUAGCUGGUUCUCCCCGAAAGCUAUUUAGGUAGCGCCUCGUGAAUUCAUCUCCGGGGGUAGAGCACUGUUUCGGCAAGGGGGUCAUCCCGACUUACCAACCCGAUGCAAACUGCGAAUACCGGAGAAUGUUAUCACGGGAGACACACGGCGGGUGCUAACGUCCGUCGUGAAGAGGGAAACAACCCAGACCGCCAGCUAAGGUCCCAAAGUCAUGGUUAAGUGGGAAACGAUGUGGGAAGGCCCAGACAGCCAGGAUGUUGGCUUAGAAGCAGCCAUCAUUUAAAGAAAGCGUAAUAGCUCACUGGUCGAGUCGGCCUGCGCGGAAGAUGUAACGGGGCUAAACCAUGCACCGAAGCUGCGGCAGCGACACUAUGUGUUGUUGGGUAGGGGAGCGUUCUGUAAGCCUGUGAAGGUGGCCUGUGAGGGUUGCUGGAGGUAUCAGAAGUGCGAAUGCUGACAUAAGUAACGAUAAAGCGGGUGAAAAGCCCGCUCGCCGGAAGACCAAGGGUUCCUGUCCAACGUUAAUCGGGGCAGGGUGAGUCGACCCCUAAGGCGAGGCCGAAAGGCGUAGUCGAUGGGAAACAGGUUAAUAUUCCUGUACUUGGUGUUACUGCGAAGGGGGGACGGAGAAGGCUAUGUUGGCCGGGCGACGGUUGUCCCGGUUUAAGCGUGUAGGCUGGUUUUCCAGGCAAAUCCGGAAAACCAAGGCUGAGGCGUGAUGACGAGGCACUACGGUGCUGAAGCGACAAAUGCCCUGCUUCCAGGAAAAGCCUCUAAGCAUCAGGUAACAUCAAAUCGUACCCCAAACCGACACAGGUGGUCAGGUAGAGAAUACCAAGGCGCUUGAGAGAACUCGGGUGAAGGAACUAGGCAAAAUGGUGCCGUAACUUCGGGAGAAGGCACGCUGAUAUGUAGGUGAAGCGACUUGCUCGUGGAGCUGAAAUCAGUCGAAGAUACCAGCUGGCUGCAACUGUUUAUUAAAAACACAGCACUGUGCAAACACGAAAGUGGACGUAUACGGUGUGACGCCUGCCCGGUGCCGGAAGGUUAAUUGAUGGGGUUAGCGGUAACGCGAAGCUCUUGAUCGAAGCCCCGGUAAACGGCGGCCGUAACUAUAACGGUCCUAAGGUAGCGAAAUUCCUUGUCGGGUAAGUUCCGACCUGCACGAAUGGCGUAAUGAUGGCCAGGCUGUCUCCACCCGAGACUCAGUGAAAUUGAACUCGCUGUGAAGAUGCAGUGUACCCGCGGCAAGACGGAAAGACCCCGUGAACCUUUACUAUAGCUUGACACUGAACAUUGAGCCUUGAUGUGUAGGAUAGGUGGGAGGCUUUGAAGUGUGGACGCCAGUCUGCAUGGAGCCGACCUUGAAAUACCACCCUUUAAUGUUUGAUGUUCUAACGUUGGCCCGUAAUCCGGGUUGCGGACAGUGUCUGGUGGGUAGUUUGACUGGGGCGGUCUCCUCCUAAAGAGUAACGGAGGAGCACGAAGGUUGGCUAAUCCUGGUCGGACAUCAGGAGGUUAGUGCAAUGGCAUAAGCCAGCUUGACUGCGAGCGUGACGGCGCGAGCAGGUGCGAAAGCAGGUCAUAGUGAUCCGGUGGUUCUGAAUGGAAGGGCCAUCGCUCAACGGAUAAAAGGUACUCCGGGGAUAACAGGCUGAUACCGCCCAAGAGUUCAUAUCGACGGCGGUGUUUGGCACCUCGAUGUCGGCUCAUCACAUCCUGGGGCUGAAGUAGGUCCCAAGGGUAUGGCUGUUCGCCAUUUAAAGUGGUACGCGAGCUGGGUUUAGAACGUCGUGAGACAGUUCGGUCCCUAUCUGCCGUGGGCGCUGGAGAACUGAGGGGGGCUGCUCCUAGUACGAGAGGACCGGAGUGGACGCAUCACUGGUGUUCGGGUUGUCAUGCCAAUGGCACUGCCCGGUAGCUAAAUGCGGAAGAGAUAAGUGCUGAAAGCAUCUAAGCACGAAACUUGCCCCGAGAUGAGUUCUCCCUGAGACUUAGAGUCUCCUGAAGGAACGUUGAAGACGACGACGUUGAUAGGCCGGGUGUGUAAGCGCAGCGAUGCGUUGAGCUAACCGGUACUAAUGAACCGUGAGGCUUAACCUUACAACGCCGAAG